ensembl:lncRNA
GUAAAAUCCUCAUGCUGGUAUUAAUCAUCUAAUGUAUUAUCAUUCAUCAGUCACAGGGGGCCGAUUUUCUGCACAAUAAGCACUUUUUCUUUUAAUACUUUAAGUACAUUUGGCACAUUAUCCCUCUGUACUUUUACUUAAACAGGAUUUAAAGUGCAGGACCUUCAAAGAAUAUACGUUUCUUUCUCGGAAAGGUUCUUUUUCCUUUUCUUCUAAAACCUGGUUGCGAGCAUUAUUAAAUCUAAAAGACCAGAGAAAGGUUAAGAGGUCGAAAGUAGACAUGGAUUCACGAUGAUGUGAAGACCCGUAAGAAUUUGCUGUUGUCCUUUUAGAACAAGAGGGGGGGCUUAAACCCAUCACAAGUCCUUGAACGGAGAUUAGAAGCUAAUAGAAUUCCCCUUCAUGUCCUCGUUACUUAGCGGGUUGCUUUGGAGGGAUGUUCCACAGUCGCUGCACAGCUGGUUUAUAGGUGCCAGCAGCCGAGCAGCUGUUCAACCUGCGACAAGAGUCGCACGGCGCGUUGCGUCGGACUCGAUUGCUUUUAGUGUCCCGCCCCCCCCCCCGAAACGGUAAAUCCGGACUCUCGUAACAAGCAGAUCAAUACGGGUAAAUAAAGACAGAAGAGCGCGUGACACCAUUGCAGCCGGGCGGCAAGGAUCACGCACACGAGCAGAACCGGCACACUGCGCCUCUCCAGCUGAGAAAAUAAAGCAUUUGGCUACACAUAUGUUCAUGUGUGUGUCACGUGAUCCCGCUGACGGCUUCGUACAUCCACUCAUCUGAUGGUCGACGGAGGGAAACACACACGAAUCUGUGUCUGAGAACAGAUGAAAAAGUGGAUCUUUGGGAAUAACGCCUUUUCAUUCGAGAUGAAUUUCCCCGAGUGAAUUAUCGCGGCUGCGGAGACGAUGAAACGUCUUAAGCAACAGAGGAAGAAGAAUUAGACGCGUCGUGUAAUUCAAGUGAGCAACUUUAGGUAAAACAAAUAAUCGAUCCCAAUUAACCAAACAGGUUUUUUUUUCUGUGCAAAAUGUCUAAAACAAAAAAGGUGCAAAGGUUGAUUUAGGCUCAGGUCACCGGGCUCAGUCCCAUCCACCCCCCUCGGCCUCGACCAGGGUUAAUUGAUUGAUUGAUUCCAACAGCUCGAGAUUAAAGCUGAGAACCGGCACUUUAACAUUACAGUAAUGGUCCACAUCGAUCUGACUGCGCUGGCUUCGAUUUCCGCGUCAGGUGGAAUGUUCCAAACAGAACUGUUAAUUCAUUAAUCAGCAUUAGCUCAGUGAGGCUUUUAAAAGUCCCGUGUUGAUGAAUGAAUAUUUAGAUCAGGGACGACAAAACAAGGCAGAGGAAACGAAGUGGAAGCUUCUGAAAACACUUCCGUUUUUUUCCUUUCGCAUUUUUCCUCUGCCGUAUUCCUUCCCGAGGAACAUGAGAUUGGGCAAACUACUGCUGUGAGCAAACAAAGCAAACAAACAGCACAGUCAGUCCUCGUUGUGACUUAGCGGUGAUGGAUGACGCUGUGCUCUGAAAACACAGUAGCAACUAUUCUCCGUUGUUGCAGAGGCUGUUCCUGCAAAUUAAGGAGGGAAGUGACGGACACUCGAAGUGAGCCGCAGACCGUCUCAUCGACAGCGUUGGAUCCGCAUUAAAUCCGCUUCAUCGUCUGCAGAGAACGCAGCGGCUAAAUUCAGAAUUUGAGCAGUCUUCCCUUUCCUAUCCGAAGGGGAAGUAUUCAUAGUGGCGACACCCGAUGGCUAGCUGCUAUACUUUGGGACACGGUGCUCCAGAGAACUCCGACUAAAUCACCGAAAAGUCCCGAAAUCUGUGCGGCGUAUUCAGAAUACGUCAAACCCAUGAAGAUGGUUUGUUUGUGCGAUGGAAAAAAAACAACAACGCUGCAAUCCUUUACCGCCAGAAACCAACCGAUUACGCCUGUCAGAGCGCCAUCAGCCCACGUGUUGUGUGCACGGCGCCGGUUUGACAGGAGCGAAUCCUUUAAGUGCUUCGUCCGGCCGC